rnacentral:rRNA from 1 species
UGCAGUCGAGCGCACUUCGGGUGAGCGGCGGACGGGUGAGUAACGCGUGGGAAUGUGCCCUUUGGUACGGAACAACUGAGGGAAACUUCAGCUAAUACCGUAUGUGCCCUUCGGGGGAAAGAUUUAUUGCCAUUGGAGCAGCCCGCGUUGGAUUAGCUAGUUGGUGGGGUAAAGGCCCACCAAGGCGACGAUCCAUAGCUGGUCUGAGAGGAUGAUCAGCCACACUGGGACUGAGACACGGCCCAGACUCCUACGGGAGGCAGCAGUAGGGAAUCUUGCGCAAUGGGCGAAAGCCUGACGCAGCCAUGCCGCGUGAAUGACUGAAGGUCUUAGGAUUGUAAAAUUCUUUCACCGGGGAAGAUAAUGACGGUACCCGGAGAAGAAGCCCCGGCUAACUUCGUGCCAGCAGCCGCGGUAAUACGAAGGGGGCUAGCGUUGCUCGGAAUUACUGGGCGUAACAGGGCGCGUAGGCGGACAGUUAGUCAGAAGGUGAAAAGCCCAGGACUCAACCUUGGAAAUUGCCUUUGAUACUUGGCUGUCUUGAGUACGGGAGAGGUGAGUGGAAUGCCGAGUGUAAAGGUG